rnacentral:rRNA from 1 species
GACGAACGCUGGCGGCGUGCUUAACACAUGCAAGUCGAACGGAAAGGCCCUGCUUGCCGGGUACUCGAGUGGCGAACGGGUGAGUAACACGUGGGUGAUCUGCCCUGCACUUCGGGAUAAGCCUGGGAAACUGGGUCUAAUACCGGAUAGGAGCCAUUUUUAGUGUGAUGGUUGGAAAGUUUUUUCGGUGUAGGAUGAGCUCGCGGCCUAUCAGCUUGUUGGUGGGGUAAUGGCCUACCAAGGCGGCGACGGGUAGCCGGCCUGAGAGGGUGGACGGCCACAUUGGGACUGAGAUACGGCCCAGACUCCUACGGGAGGCAGCAGUGGGGAAUAUUGCACAAUGGGCGCAAGCCUGAUGCAGCGACGCCGCGUGGGGGAUGACGGCCUUCGGGUUAUAAACUCCUUUCGCUAGGGACGAAGCUUUUUGUGACGGUACCUAGAUAAGAAGCACCGGCUAACUACGUG